rnacentral:rRNA from 1 species
GGGCCCGCACAAGCGGUGGAGCAUGUGCUUUAAUUCGAUGCAACGCGAAGAACCUUACCUGGAUUUGACAUGGGGGUGAAAGGUCGCAGAGAUGUGAUCCCUUCCGCAAGGAACACCCCACACAGGUGCUGCAUGGUUGUCGUCAGCUCGUGUCGUGAGAUGUUAGGUUAAGUCCUGCAACGAGCGCAACCCUCGCCCUUAGUUGCUAACAGGUCAUGCUGAGAACUCUAAGGGGACCGCCUGGUUUAACCAGGAGGAAGGUGGGGAUGACGUCAAAUCCUCAUGGCCCUUACGUCCAGGGCUAGACACGUGCUACAAUGGUAGAAACAGCGGGAUGCAAGCUGGUGACAGCAAGCUAAUCCCUUAAAAUCUAUCUCAGUCCGGAUUGAAGUCUGCAAUUCGACUUCAUGAAGCUGGAAUCGCUAGUAAUCGCGGAUCAGCAUGCCGCGGUGAAUACGUUCCCGGGCCUU